rnacentral:lncRNA from 1 species
CAACUAAACUCUCUGUUGAUGAUGUUUAUGUGUGUAAUUUAAUUACAUAAGCACUCGUCAAGUUUUAGGAGAAAAUGAGCUUAAACGGAGAAGUUACGCGAUUAUUAGUUUUCACUUAAGUGAAUAGUAACUCCGGUUUUCCGGAGAAGCCACGGAGUAGAGUUGGCUUCUGGUGCGUAUCGGACUCCGUUCAUAUCAGUCCAAUAGCUCGUUUCGACCGGUUCGGCUGUUCUGGAACUUGUGGCGCUAAUGGAUUUUGAGUUUGACGCACGAAUUUCGAGAAAAUCCAAAAAUACAUGUUUUAUAUGUAUUUGUGCGUGAGUGUUUCCUUCUAUUGGAAGAAGGUUGGAUUUUGUCGUGAAUCCGUGGUCGAUCGAGAUGAAUCGAAGGUGUAGCUUUGUUGUCUCCGAGGUGCUGAUCGCACUGGUGCAAUCCGUUCGCAAAUCUGACGGACGGAUCUGCGGAGAUCGCGCGUUGAUCGAGGAGAGGUCGGUGUUGGCAAAACGGUAGUUUCGCAAAAGUCGCGACAUUUUAUGUACCGUUUCGCGUGAAAUCGCACGUAGAGGGGUAUUCGCGCGUUUUACUUGUGCUGUGAGGGACUGGGUAAGAAAUACCAAGCUUCGGUGGACUUUUGUGCAAAAUUGCACUUAGUAUACAAUGUGCAUCUAGGGUUUCUAUGCACGAAACCCUAGAUCUGGCCGACCCUGUCUCCCAGCUGUGCCCUAACCGCCAUCUGCAGGUCCAUGCCCUAGCAGUGCGCGCAGUCCGGCCGCCGGCAAGCUUCCCCGGCCGCCGGAAACCUGGAUCGGUCUCUCCUCUACCAUCUUCUCCACCUAGCCACCACAUUCGUUGGUCUUCGAGCUCGUGAGGGAACAUGGCCAUGUGCCGAACGACAUAGCCAUGUUCCGGUUUGGGCACCCGUGGUUGGAGGACAGCGCGUAGGACUUGGCCAUGUCUGCCUGGGAACAUGGCCAUGUCGUUCGCUGAAGGGUGCCACCAACAUGGCCAUGUCUGGUUGGGAACAUGGCCAUGUCGUCUCAUUUUUAAGACGUUAAAGCGUCUAAAAUUGUGUCUUUCUACUGGAGUGCAGCGUGUCUCAGGCAAAGCGCAGAUAAACUGCGGUUGCGUUGAGCUCGAACAGAGCUGUGAGAGGUCUCGACAGCUGUUCAGGGGUGACUGUCUUUGACCCAGAGUGUAGGCCGCUGACACCCUUCGUGUACUCGCUGUGCUUCAAGUCGGUGCAUCGCGCGUGUCGCGGAUUUAGUGUAGAUUGUGCGUUUGGCCCCUUGGCAACUGGGGCUGCCUCCACUCUUGCUACGAGUCGUGCCUCAUUGCUACUAGCACGAGUGAAGGUGACAGUAGCCCCAUGGAAGCCUAACGGGCUUUCCACUGGCCUUGGGAUUUGAUGUCACGACCUUGAAUUUUGUCAUCGUAUGGCCUCACGUCCCUCGAUCCCAACCGGCGGCCGCCGGCCUGCCGCCCGCGAGGCCGGCCCCUUCCCACGCCGUGCAGCCUCCCCAGGCCCCGUUCACGACCGGCCGCCGCCCACCGCCGGCCACCGCGCCGCCUCCUCUAGGUUAGGAGCUGAACGAGAGCCCAAGUUCCCAAGGGCCGCCGCGCCGCCGCCGGCCUUCUCCAGCCCCACCGCUGCUUGGCCGCCGCCUCCGGCUCCUCUUCCGCCACGUUGGGGGCCAACCGCCGCCGCCGCGAACCUUCGGCUCGCCCGGGCUGGAGCCGGGCGUACCCAGACCCGCCGGCGUCCACUGGAGUCGCCGCUGGCCGCCGCGCGCCCCUGCCGCCCCCUGCUCGCGCGGCCCAACGGCCUCCAGCGGCCCCAGCUGUCCUCCCGCCGCAACGGUUUCUCUCCGCAGCCGCCGAGCCCCUAUGGCUCUAGUGGGUCCGAGCCGGACCCACUGACGCCCACCGGCGUCCAUCGACCCCGCCGCGGCCGCCGCGCACGUCCGCCACUGCCGGCCGUCCCUGCCGCGGCCCCUCAAGGCCCUCCCACUGCGAAGGGUAGGGCUCGCCGUCGUCCCGCUCCUCCUCCUCCAGGGUGCCGGAGCCGGUCUAGACGAGUCUAGACCGGCGUAGAUCGGUCCCGCCGCCACCGCCGCGAGGCCCCGCCGGCCCUGCCGCCGCCGGCCGCCGCUUCUACGACCUCCUCCCAGAGCCGGUCUCCCACGUCAGAGCUGCACCUACCAGUGGGGANGUAUAUGUACUUUUGGACAGUCACUACAGUUGUGAUACUUCGUUGAUGGUUGAGAUUUUGGGAUUGUAUACUCUUUGUUCUUUUGUUGAUAUAUCGACUUGUACAUUGCUCUGAUAUCAGGAUAGGACUCUCCUUGUUUUACUUCCUAUCGACUUGUUUUUUUUUCGUAGACGCCUUAUAUACUGCAGGUGUAUGGCGGGUCUGUGCACGUACCGGAUAUGCUUCCGCUGGUACCCGGGCGUGACACAAACAAAUAACAAUGAGCGGGUGCUCGCAAGCGAGCCAUCCAAACUUCUGCUUACUCCGAAACACAGCUUUCCUUCCUUGCCUAUUAUCAUUGCCACUGCUAUUAAAAAAAAAAACUAAUGCCAAAAUCAAGAAAAUAAAACAUGUAGUGAAAAUUAGAAAAAAAAAAAUAUUAGCAAAUCUCAGUGGAAAACUUAGGUUAAAAUAAUAUAACAACAUAAGUUUCACCAUGGUAAGAAAAUAGCAGUAGCAGGAAUGCAUUGCUGAGAAAACAAAAAGCAGAAAAAAGUUUAAUCAGUACAGAUAGAGAUUUAAAUAUACUUGUGCCGAAACCGAGCUAAUCAAACAAACAAUAGUGAGUAGUUGCUUGUGAGUGGGCUGACCAAACUUUGAAAUUUUUGCUUGCUGCAACUCAUAGUUUUUUUCUUCGCUUACUGUUACUGCUUGGGAUACCAAAGACAGAUAAAAAAAAAAACUUUAAAAUAUAUCGGGAACAAGAAAGCAUUUAGCAAAUACAGAUUAAAUUAUUUAAAUCGAUAUAACCUAGUAUAAGAAUAAAUCUUUAGAACAUUAUGUGUACAGAAAACAAUCACAUUAUACACAAUGGAAGAAAAAAAUAGAAAAAAAGAAAAAGAAAAAGAGUUUUACACAUAUUUGAACAUACGGUGAAAAUCAGAAAAAUAAAACAUGUAUUGAAAAUCAUGAAGACACAUUAGAAAAUCUUGGUGCAAAAACGAACACAGCAAACAAAUUAGGAAGAUUCAGAUAUAACCACAGAUCUCUCUCUUAUAAAAUUCUAUAAAAUCUUUUCCUCUCUCCUACUACUCUCUCUCUUAUCCCUCCCUUGUUGGAUCGCUCAAUCAUAUCAUAUCAUAUCUAUCUAUACAUCACAUUAUCUGACACUCCUAAGAAAGCCACCUGUGCUCUCUCAUGACGCUUCUCUCUCCCUCCUCCCUCUUUUUAUCUCUUAUAAAAUCCUAUAAAAUCUUACAGAUCUUCUCAUCUCCCUUCCACUCCAUACUCUCUCUCCUUUACCCUCCCCCAAUCUUUUUUUAACAAAAUUCUAUAAAAUCUUACAAACUCUUCUCAUUUCUCUCAUACUACUCUCUCUUAUCUCUCAUUCUUACUAAGUCUCUCAAUCAUAUCAUGUCCUAUAAAGUUUUAUAAAAUUUUCUUUUCUCCCUCCUGCUACUUUCUCUCUCUCUUACUGGAUCUCUCAAUCAUAUCCUAUAAAGUUUAUAAAAUCUUCUCAUUCUCGAUCUCUUACUGGGUCUCUCAAUUAUAUCAUAUCAUAUCUUAAACGAUCUUCUCAAAAUCCUUCUAAUAUUUUCUUUGUUUUGACGAGAACGGGGAUGAGAAGAUCUCGCAUGCAGAGCUGCAGAGUUGCAUGCGGAGCAGCAUCAGGGACGAGCUGUCGGCCGGGGCGGAAAAAGUAGUGGUAACAAUUUAUUACUAAUGUAGAUAUUUGUGUUGGUUUUUUUAAUAAAUCAAUAGGCUUAUAAUUAGGGGUGUAAAACGGGCCGGGCGGCCCGCGGCCCGCCCGGCACGGCACGAGAGUGGGCCGGGCCAGGCACGGCACGAGUACUGUAGCAUGCCGUGCCGGCCCGGCCCGGCCAGUUAAAUCGGGCCGUGCUGGGCCUUGCUCCUGCUGCCCGAUGGCCUAGCAUGGCCCGGCACGACAUAGGCCUGGGCUGUGCCUGGCCUAAAGGGUACCCAGGCCUGGCCUGGCACGGCACUGCCCGGCCCGUGUGGCCAGGCCCUCCCGAGCCGGGCCCAGGCAGGGACUUGGGUACAACCCAACUCCCAAGGCCCUGCAUCACCCAACUCCCAAUGCUUUGGGAGUUGGGCUGUUGCUUUGGGACUCCCAACAGUUAAAAGAGUUGGGCUGUGGCUUUGGGAGUUGGGCUUGGACUAAAAUGCCCUUCCCAACAGUCAAAAAUUUGACUGUUGGGAGGAUAUUUUGGUCCAAAAAAUUUAAAAUUUUAAAAUAAUUUAAAAUUUUAAUAUUUUUAUAAAUAUAUUUUAAAAUUUUAUUUUUUUUGCUGAUUUUAUUUUUAAAAAAUUAAUAUUUUAUUUUUUAUUUUAAAAAAUUUAAAUAUGUUUUAAUAAAAUUAAUAAAAUAAAAAGAGGCGGCCUGAAGCCGGCCCGGCCCGGGCACGGGCCCGUGUCAGACUCCGGGCGCGGGGGCAUGGCUGGGUGGGUUCCAAGACUUUAGGCCCGGCCGCAACGCACGGGCCGUGCGUGCCGGGCUGGCCCGCGACCCGUUCGGCCCGAAAAAUGUGGGCGGGCCGCCCGGCACAGCCGCACUUUACAUCCCCUACUUAUGCACGGCCCAAUUACAUCCCUAUUUAUAAUACAACUGACUUAAGUUGCAUAUACUUUCUUUAAGAGAAACUCUUAAUAUAGAGUCAGCGACUGCAAUGAUACUAAAUGAAUUCGACAUAAUAAUUUUAAUAUUUUGGUUUUAUGGAAUAUCUAUAAAUACUAAUUAAAUGUAUUAUACUUAGAUUUUUUAUAACGUAUAUAAGAAUACUCUAAUGGGCAUUUUUAAGUGAUGUAUUUCUUUAUUUAUAACUUCUUCAAUAUUUAAUUUUUAAUAAUAAUAUAUAAUAAUUAAUUAAAAUAAUAUUUACCCACUAAGAAUCGGGGGCCUAUACUAAUAUAAUAUAAUAUAAUGGUAGCGCUAGUAGUUGCUGCAGUACUACUACUAAUAAUAAGAUAUUUAAUAUUAUAUUAUAAUUAUUAUUAUAAGAUAUUUUAAUAUAUCUAAAAUUAAUAAGCUAAGCAUAACAUAAGAAUAACUUUAUUCCUAUUACCGACUGCCCCUAGAGCAAGUGGCAAAAGACUUAGUAGUUGGUAUCCGAGACCCAAGUUCGAAUCCUAGUUGAUUCACAUUUCUAGCUAAGUCUAUUUCUAAAUGAAAUAAACGAAGCGGUAGCGUGGUACCUAUCUCUCAAAAAAACUUUAUUCCUAUUAAAAAGUUAGAAUAUUUAUUUCCAGAUUACUCUAGAAUUAUCUAGAAUAAUUCAGUUUGACUAUGGAAUAGCUAUUUUUGUACACUAUUUUGGCGGAAAAAGAAUUCUAAAUUUUUUUGUCCUCGGUUUUUUCUAAAACCAAAUAAAGCUUCAGAAAAAUUAUUUCUUCAAAAAAAUGUUUUCCAUAGAAAAUGCUUUUUUUCAGAGUUUUCAUUUUUUGGAUAAAAAGUUGAAAAAUGAAUACACUUGAUUUUCAUAAAAUUUAGAAUUCUUUUUCUAGAAAAUUAUUUUUUUAAAAACCAAACGUAGAAAACAGUAUUUUCCAAUCCAAAAUGUAUUUUCUUAUUAGAUAUUUUCGUAGAAUUGAACUCCCUACAUGUAAAUCAGUAAAUUACACUUUGGCUCGUCAAACUAUACGGUGACUGAUACUUUUGUUUCUAAAUCUUUAAUUUAUUAUACUUUUUGCUUAAAUCUUUUAAAAUUAUUAUAACCAAGUCCCACUGUUGGAUAAAAUUAAUUAAAUACUCAAAAAUCAAUCGUCGCAAAAAUCACAUAAAUUUUUACAUACCUCUUUCUGGUGCGGAAUUGAUGUUGUGAUUAUCAGGAUCUGAUCUCGUCUUGUUUUACGAACUCGUUGAUCCGCCAACGUCCUGUCUCAAUUUGUUGCACGUUGUUCUUACUCGUUGCAAUCCGGCUACUAGAGUCGAUCACCGCACACCGCCCAAAUUCCUAGGGUUUAUGAUGGUGCCCUAGAGCGAACCCGAGAGAGAGAGAAUUUUGGUGGAGAGAUGAUUCUUAUUUUUUUCGUUAUCUUGUAUGUGGUCAAUACCUCAUGUAUUUAUAGGCCAUAAGGGGGACGUUAAUCCUAAUCAUAUUCUGACUAAAUCUCACAUAGAUAGAGAUUUAAACAGAUUAGGAUUUAUCAGUUAGAUUUAUUCUUUAUCCAAGUGGACUAGAAAUAUAACAGAUAAUUAUAAAUAUUUAUUUCUUAUCCCAUAUGGAUUAGAAAUAUUUUAGAUAAGUCCCAAUAUGGACGAAUCGUAAUAUCUCCCACUCGUACACACUUGGUACUUAUUCAUACUUUCUCAUCCCAAAUAUAUUCUUAUCUCGUUCUGCUCUUCAUACGAGAAAUGGUUGGUGCGAUCAAUAACGAGAAGAAUCAUAAGUGAGGAGUGUUAUAUUAAGCCACCAUCCGAACUAACAUAACACUACAACUCCAAAUCUCGUCUAUACCCCAAAUCACUGAACUACACCAGAUCAUAGCAUCUCUGAUCCCUUAGAGCAAACUAGAUCUCUCUCAUUAAUGUAUUUGUUCUCAUGAUUAUAUUGACAACAAAUAUCAACAUAAUCGCCCAGGCAAUGAGUAACAAAUCAUAGGUAUAUUAUCAAAUGAUUUUUCAUUAGAUGCCCCAUGUCAAUCCAUUUCAACUUGACUGCUUUCCUAGACAUGUUCCGCUGGACCGAAUCAAUCAUGACCCUUGAAUAUCAUGCUAAAGUAGCAUCAUCAAGUAUCCACUUCAUAACAUGGUUCUAAGUCCCAAAGGGUAUGCAAAGCUCACACAGCGACGAAACGGGAAUCAAUUUCGUCACUUUCUAAAACAUAGUGAUCGAUCUUGCACAUACAGUAUGAACGUAUGCUAUGGUGGAGCUACCUCUAAGGACAUGUCACGCUCAAAACACCAUACGAAUGUCGAUUUUGUUGUAACUUAAGACAACAAACCUCAAGACAGUCACCCACAUAGUGUCUUCUUUACAUUCGGCUUCAUACAGGCCGAGUAGAGUCGUGGACCAUCUCUACUAUCGACUUCGUACAGUCUCAUCUUAGCUUAUCUAAGGCGACAUUUAAAGUUUAAACACUCGCCAGCUCUUAUAGUGCAAAGUGGAUCACCUGCAUUACUAACUACAUUUAUGUGAUCUUAUUUGUCUCAUCCUGCUCGCUCUCCUAGCGACAGGGCGAUCACCCGUGUGAGAGGGCUGAUCAAUGGCCUGGUAACAUUCAUUCUCACAAGGAUAUUGUGCACUAAUUUAAAAUUAAAUAAACAUGUAUAUGAAUGAAAAAAGAUAUCAAAAAUAUUUAUUAGCAAAAUUAUUAAUACAAGAUAUAUGAGAGUCAAGCCCUACACAAACCCAAUCCUCUAACAUGUUUAUGAAAAACAUUUCUAACAAGGGGUUUGGUAAAAGGAUCUGCUAUCAUAUCAUCAAUAGAUGCAAAUUUAAUUACAAUCUGUCCCUAUGCAAUUAUAUCUCUAAUGAAGUGAUAUCUAGUCUCAAUGUGUUUAGAUCUUCCAUGAUACUUUGGAUCCUUGGCAUAAGCUAUUGCUGCUUUGUUGUCACAAUAGAUAAUAACAGCAUCAUCAGCAUGAGCUGUUACACUCAAAUUUAUCAUAAAUCUCCUUAGCCAAACAGCCUCUUGUAUUGCUACUGUACAUGCAAUGUACUCCGAUUCCAUAGUUGAUAAGGAGACACAUGGUUGUUUCUUGCUACACCAUGAAAUAGCAGCUCCUCCAAGUAUAAACGCAUAUACCGAGAUAGAUUUGCGUUCAUCUCUAUCUGCGAAUCCAUCAGCGUCGGUGUAUCCCGUCAAUCUAAGCUCUCCUUCAUGAUAGCAUAGAGCAAGGUUCACAGUACCUCGCAGAUAUCUGAAAAUCCUUUUAACUGCUUGCCAAUGUGCUGCACUAGGAUUACUCUGAUAUCGACUAACCAUACCAACAGCGAAACAUAUGUCUGGUCGAGUACAUAUCAUUGCAUACAUCAAGCUGCCGACUGCACUCGCAUAUGGGACUUUUUUCAUCUGCUUUCUCUCUUCUUCUAUUUUAGGGCAUUGUUCAAGGCUAAGAUAAUGACCCUUUUCCAUUAGAGUGUCAAUAGGUUUCGAAUUAUGCAUUCGGAAUCGCUCCAAAAUUCUUUUAAUAUAAGUCUCUUGAGACAAACUUAAGAAUUUUCGAGAUCGAUCCCUAUGGAUCUUGACUCCCAAUACAUAAUCUGCUUGUCCCAUGUCCUUCAUCUCAAAAGUUGAGGACAACCACUUCUGUGUGGUGAUUGUUAACUCCAUAUUAUUUCUGACUAACAAGAUAUCAUCUACAUAUAGUGAAAGAAUAAGAAAACAUUUUUCUUCCCUUUUAACGUACACGCAAUGGUCUUCUUCGAUCAUCACAAAGCCUAUUGAUAUAAUUGCUCUAUGAAAACGUUGAUACCAUUGCCUAGACGAUUGUUUCAAGCCGUAAAUGGAACGUUUUAAGCGGCACACUUUGCGCUCUUGUCCUUCGGCUAUAAAACCAGGAGGUUGAUUCAUAUAAAUCUCCUCGUCUAGUUCUCCAUUGAGAAAUGCAGUCUUCACAUCCAUUUGGAACAGUUCCAAAUCUAAAUGUGCGACGAUAGCCAGAAUCAGGCGAAUUGAGACAAACCUCACCACUGGGGAGAAUGUCUAUUCAUAGUCUACUCCUUUUUUUUGGGUGUAUCCUUUCGCCACUAAUCGGGCUUUAUAUUUGUCAAUUGAUCCAUCCGCCUUACGUUUUAUUUUAAAGAUCCAUUUAUUUCCAAUAGUUUUUCGUCCAGACGUAAGAUCAACUAACUCCCACACAUUAUUCUUAGCCAUAGAACUCAUCUCAUUCUCCAUAGCAGCUAGCCAUAUAUCACAAACUGGUGAACUCAUAGCUUCAGCAUAAGAAGCCGGCUCAUCAACAUCCGUAGAAGCACACAUGAACGAUUCCCCUUCAAUCUCAAAUCGACGACGGGGAACACCUCCACGUUUACUUCUUCGUAAUGAUGGACUUUGUGAGCCAUGGUCAAUCGGCACACUCCCACUGACCAUAGGAUCACUCCCACUGUUUUGGGCUAUUUCUUCAUGUGGCCUCAGUGCCUCAUUCUCGCCUAACAAUGGGACAUUUUCAUUAGGUUCUUGCAACUCGUAUAGUGCAAGAUCCUUUUUAAUCUCACCAAUGUCUGAAAAAUCAUUCUCAAGAAAAUCCAUAUCACGCGACUUUAUCUCAGUCAUUACUCCAUCAGGAUGCUUGCCAUACAUCACAUAGCCUUUCGAGCAAUCAGAAUAUCUAAUAAAAAUUUAUUUAUUUGCUCUAGGGCCUAACUUUCCAUAUUUAUGGGAAGUAUUAUGCACAUAUCCUGCCGAUCCCCAUGGUCGUAAGCCUUUCAAAUUUGGCUUUAUUCCAUGCCAUAACUCAUAGGGAGUUGAAGGAACUGAUUUAGAGGGCACUCGGUUAAGUAUAUAGGCAGCAGUCAACAACGCAUCACCCCAAAAACUAAUUGGGAGGUUGGCUUGCGCCAUCAUUGACCUAACCAUUUCCAAAAGUGUCCUAUUUCUCCUCUCUGCAACACUAUUUUGUUUCGGAGUACCAGGAAUAGUUAACUGUCUGCGUAUUCCCUUUUCCUCACAUAGUUCCCUGAACUGGUCUGAUAAAUACUCUCGUCCUCUAUCAGUACGUAGAACUUUUAGAGUUCUUUCUGUUUGGUUCUCAACCUCCACUAAGAAGCGUUUAAAAUAAUCUAAAGCUUCUGAACGGUGAGACAACAGAUAUACCGAACUAUAACGGGAGUAGUCAUCAAUAAAAGUGAGGAAAUAGUACGCGCCAUGACGUGCUCUUACAUUCAUAGGUCCGCAUAUGUCUGAAUGAACUAGCUCCAAUGGAUGAGUUGCUCUACGUGCCUUACCAAAAGGCUUUAUGCAGGCUUUUCCUGCUAAACAUGGUUCACAAGGAGGUAGGCUAAGCUUAGCGAGUGACCCCAAUAGGCCUUCUCUAGCUAGUCGAGCCAUCCUUUCUUGUCCAAUGUGACCCAAUCUCGCAUGCCAUUUGAUAGAAUCAGAUACAAUAUCAAAAGAAACUAAUAAAGCAGAAUUAUUGUUAUGAUUAAUAAAAUCCAAGUCCAAAUCUAAAACAAAGAAAUCAUUCUUUAAAUAACCAUUACCAUAAAAGUCCUUGCCCAAAUAAAUAGCUAACUGAGUAUCCGUAAAUUGAAAAGAAAAACCUAAUCUAAGUAACGCUAAAACUGAUAGUAGAUUACAUCGGAUGUUCGGUGCAUACAGCACAUCAUGUAAUAUCAAAUAACGAUCAUUGCACAAUCUAAGUUGGUAUGCGCCAAUUCCAAGGACUUCUUCCUCAGUGCCGUUUUCCAUCAUGACAUAAUGGCUGCUAGCAGAUACCCGACGAUAAUCCACAUAUCCCGCUCGAUCUCUCAUUACAUGCUUUGUUGCUCCUGUGUCUAUAAUCCAAUCAGAGAGAGCGUGAGCAACAAAAACGUGCGACCAUACAUAAAUAAGAGAGUCAGGAUUGGGAUUUACCUUUUUUGGCUUAGUGCAAUCACGAGCGAAGUGUCCCAUGUCUCCACAGUUAUAGCAUUUCACCUCAUUUAAAUUUUUUUUUCCGCGCCUGCCUUUUCGGCGCUUCUUAAUUCCGCCCUCAUUCGUCGCGCGGUUCCCAGUCUUUGCAUAUUUAUUUUCUCCAUUUCGGCACUUGUGCUUAGGCCACUUGCCUCUGCGCUGUCCACCGUGGGCAACGAGUGCAUUGGCACGGUUUGCCUCUCUGCGCCCCGCUUCCAACUCAAGAUGUCGAGCUAUAUUGUUGAAGGUCUUGAUACCUUCAUUAUGAGUCAGCACAACCUUGAUUUGAUCCCAAGAUGAAUCUUGUAAGGACCUUAUAACUGAUUGAACCUGUUGUUCAUCAGUGAACUCGCAACCGGCUACUUUAAGCUCUCUUAUCAUAGCAGACAUCACCCUUAAGUGCUCUGUUAUAGAAUGCUUCGGGUCCAACAAGUAUUGAUUGAAUUUGAGAUUCAAGGCACGAAGUCUUGUGGUCAAUGUGCCCCCAUAUUUCACUUUGAGCUGCUCCUACAUAUUUUUAGUAGUCUCAUAAUUCUCAAAUUCUUUGAUCAAAUCAUCGUGCAUACAGCUCAACAUUGUAUAGCGUGCAAUGCGAUCUUUCUCAAGUCACUCGUUAUAGGCUUGUAAAUCGCGACGGUGCUGAGCCGUCGUGCCUUUUUCAGGCUGAACCAUACUGUUGGUUAGAUGGCUAAAUAUCCCUUUCUCAUUAAGAAGAUAUUGAAUUUUUCUAUACCACAUGUUAUAAUUUGCUCCAUCAAGCUUAUUUUGAUUUAACGAAUCCGCGAUAGAAAAAUUUUUUAAAGCCAUUUAUCACUACAAUAAUGCACAUAAUUUUAAAUUAGGCACAAAUAUCCACAAUAUUAUUCUUAAUCUAAUUUGAUAAUAAUCUCAUCCAAUGCAGAUAAAAAAAGAUAUCAAAUUAAUUACGAAUAAAUCCACGUCACAAAAUAAAUGAUGAACAUUAUGCAAUAACACAUUGCAACUUGAAAAAUAUCAUCACAUGUAUCAUAGCAAGAAACAAUAUAUAAUAAUAGCGAUUGCAUAUCAUAAUAUUAUAUAUAAAUGAAAGACAUGCAUAAUUUACAUAAAAACUUGUUAGUCAGGAUGGAUAAGAACCAGUGGUUUGAAGUUCAAGUUGUCGGUUCCAUUAUAUAUAUAUAUAUAUAUAUAUUAUUCUCUUUUAUAAAAUCAUGCAAGCCCAUGGGUUGAGGUCGGGUUGGGCUUAGGCCUAUAUGACGUGGACUUAGAGAGCCUACAGGCCCAGUCCUACGAGGGGGCUAGCCAGGAAGCCCGCAGGUCCAUCCAGGGCGGGCCGCCCAGCAAGCCCAGCGCGGGCGGCUUCACAAGGCCACAGGCCCUGUGUAUGCGGGCCCCUGCAGGCCCUGCACUAGCAGUCCUUCCAAGCCCAGAGCGGGCAGAUCCCGCAAGCCCACAUGCAUACGGUUUGCCUCAUGUGAUUCAUUUUAUUUUAACAAAUUAAAAAUAUAUAUGAUGUUAAAAAAAAUGAAUUAUUCGAGCGAAAACAAGCACUAUAAGGCUCUGAUACCACUGUUGGAUAAAAUUAAUUAAAUACCCAAAAAUCAAUCGUCGCAAAAAUCACAUAAAUUUUUACAUACCUUUUUUCUGGUACGGAAUUGAUGUUGUGAUUAGCAGGAUCUGAUCUCAUCUUGUUUUAAAAAUUCGUUGAUCCGUCAACGUCCUGUCUCAAUUUGUUGCACGUUAUUCUUACUCGUUGCAAUCCGGCUACUAGAGUCGAUCGCCGCACACCGCCCAAAUCCUUAGGGUUUAUGAUGGUGCCCUAGAGCGAACCCAAGAGAGAAAAUUUUGGUGGAGAGAUGAUUUUUUUUUUUUGUUAUCUUGUAUGUGUCAAUACCUCAUGUAUUUAUAGGCCAUAAGGGAGACGUUAAUCCUAAUCAUAUUCGGACUAAAUCUCACAUGGAUAGAGAUUUAAACAGAUUAGGAUUUAUCUGUUAGAUUUAUUCUUUAUCUCCAGUGGAUUAGAAAUAUAACAGAUAAUUAUAAAUAUUUAUUUCUUAUCCCGUAUAGAAAAAAAAAAAAAAAAAAAAAAUCAAAUAUGGAGUUAUUUGGGGUACACUCUAGGGUUCGCACAGCAGUACUCCGAAGAAAAAGACACACACAACACGCGCAUAUAUCAAAAAGCACGGCUCCUUCCCCUGCAUAUUCUCUUCCCAUAUCUCUCUCUCCAAUUGAGUAAAAAAACCCCUCACGCACACUCUCUCUCUCUCUCUCUCUCUCUCUACCCCAAACCUCUUUUCCACUCCCUCUCCCAAAUUCAAACCUCACAGAAGCCGCUCACACCAUCCCCCAAAUCCCAAUCCCUCCUCCUCCCUCUCAAAGAUUCAAUCUUUCUCCCCUUCUCCAUCUCCUCUCUCCUCUUUUCCCUUCAAUUCCCUCUUCUUCUUCAUCUUUAUACGCCCAAGAUCCAAGUUUUCCUCUUCCUCCCCACUCCCCACCCUAAUUUUCCCCUUGCCCAUCUCUUGUUUUGGGGUUUCUUUGGCGAUUUGUAGAGGUUUGUUGUGUGCUUUUGCCCCCUUUGGAUCUGUGGGGGCCAUGUUUGUGGCGCCCCGGUCGUUCUUGAAACCCUAGGCGGCGGAGGGGGCGGAAUUAGGGUUUCGGAGGAGAUGUUGGAGGAGGAGAGGAAGUGUAAUGGGGCGGCGGUGAAGGUCGAGGAUUCGGCCAGGGAGGAGGGGCUUAUCACUUACAAGAGGCGGAAGCGCCCAAGGCCGAGUCCCGAUGAUGGAGGGGUUAGGCGAAAGAUAUCAUUUUUCCUCUUCUUUUUGUCUUUUGUUGCUUCUGCUUAUAUAGGUUUUUCUUUUUUUCUUCUUUUUUGUGAUAUUUGUUGUUAAUUAAAGGCCAUAAUUGGGUUUAACUAUCCACUUGGUGCUUAAGUUUAAUAAAUUGCCAAGGUUACUUCUUGAUGCAAGAAAUGGGAAAAUGCUUCUUGAUGCAAGAAAUGGGAAAAAGAGAUUCCGGGGAAAAAUGAUAAUUUCUAUGUAGUCAAUUACGACUAUUGGUAAAUUAAGCUUCGUUUUUGCCUUCACAUUUAGUAAUUGUGCUACACACACACACGAAUACGCUGGAAUCUUGAUUCUUGUAAACGUAUACGAAAAUAUACACUGGAAUCUUGAUUCUUGUAGCAAUAAUGAUUUAAUUGUUUUGACAUUACUUUUCUGUGUAAUAGUAAUCUCAGGCAUGUCUUGUUUGUUCUAUCUUAAUGAGGAAACAGAGCUGCUUAUUAAGUUAUCUGAUACGUGGGAAUUGUAUUUUUAUAAAGGUAUAUUUUUUUGUCUUGAUGGGAGUGUAAUAGUAAGCUUGUACGUUUAGGACCGAGCUGAACAUCUUAUUAUUAUUUUAAGUGGUUGUAAUAUCUAAAAGAUGCUGAAAUCAUGGUGUGCUUUCAUAUUUGUUUAGAAUAGUUAGUGAUUGCUAUGGAGUUGUUUGUCAUUUGAUCAAACAUUAUUGUAUGGAAUGUUUGGUGAAACUGAAAUCUGAUGAUGAUGUAGUGAGAAAUCUAACAUAGUUUGUUGUCCGUUGGGGAAAUUAUCAACCAAAACUACAAAUAUAUGUAAAGCAUGUUCUAGUUAGUUAAGCUAUAUUUUUAAUGAUACUACAGAAUUGUUAUUGAAAAUGAUUUUGGAUGUGUUUUUCUUUGAGAAUAUUCAUCUUCCUGAGUGAUAUUAUCAUAAGAAAUUUGUUUUUCACCUUAUAUGUUGUGCGGACUUGUAGGCCUCUGACAAUUCCAACAGAAAGAGGGAAAGGGAUAUUGGGUGGGACCAUGCGAUGAUGGUCGAUGGAAACAGAUUGCACUGGCAAUGCAAUUGGUGUGGACUAACACGAUACAAUGGGGGUGUCUCUCGACUGAAGUGGCAUCUCGCUGGUGGCUUCGCGGUUCGUAAGUGCCCGAAUGUUCCGGAAGAAGUUUCUAGAAUGAUAAAGAACAAUCUCUUUAUGAAACGGAGGUCCAAGAAAAGGAGAUUGGAUAUAUCCGGUGGUACAGAUAAUAUGACAAUAUUAAAUUGUUGCAAUGGCGAUGCCGCGAAUGAUGAAAAUCAUUUGCCUGUUGACCUAGAGUUGCAGGUGGAAAGUACUGCUAGGGUUUCAAAGGGAGCCACUAGACAAUCCGAGGCUGACCAUGAUCCAACUACUAAGGUAUUAGAUUUGUUCUAACUAGUUUUCUCCUUAAUGCUUGAUCUUUGGUUUUUAUGCUGCACUCUCACUAGUAUGAUGUUAAUGCCCAAUCUAUCUUUUAUUUUUCUUUUGGCUCGAUGCAUCACCUUGAAGAAAUCAUGGUGUAAUCUCACUAAUUCUGUUCAUUUCUGAGUAAUAAUAUGCUUAAUUUUGUGCUGCAGGGUAUGGAAGAUAUUACUGGCACAGUAUUAUCAAAAUGCCCUUACGAGCAAAAUGUUAAUGGUAGAACAAAUAGUAUAUGGAGCCACUGGAGAGAUGUUUUGAAAAACAUGCUGCAAUUACCAUCAAUAAGUGAUGGUGAUGGUAUAAAAAGCUGCAUAGAUGAUGCUCUUAAGUGUGGUCCUUCAGGAUUCACCAUGAAGCCUAACACAGCUAAUGGACCUAGGGUCAUAGAGAAUCAACAGGUAUCGGGAAAUUGUUUUACUUUGAUGCGUAAUUCUCUAUUCUAUGCCUGUUUGGCCUUGCUUCUAGAGUGGCUUCUUUGACUUGAAAAGCCACAACUACUUGUUUAGCAAAAACUUCUAGAGAUUUCGUUUGGCGGGAAGCUGAAACGAGCCUUUAAGUCAUACAAGUAGAAGCUCCAAUUUGAAGUUCUUCUUCAGCUUAUUGAGAAGCUUUCGGAGGGUUUAUUACAACUUUAUUAUAACUUGGCCUAACCAUCCUACUCAAACAGUACUUAGUUGAAGCUCCAGCAAGGCCAAUAACAGGACCUUCGUGAAUUUAAAUCCGGAAGUUUCUCAUAAUCAUUCUUAUUUUCAUGACUAUCAGGAUAGGUAUGAGGGGCAUUGUGAAGUAAAAACGAAUUCCGAAAGGCUAAAUAGUUCCAUUAGUUCUGCCUCAGAUGGAUCAAGAGAUGGCAAUCAAGUAGAUGCUAAUGCUAAUACUAAUACUACAAAGUGCAAGAAUGCUUUUGAAGAUAUAUUACGUUCGGAGAAGUUUGUCUUAUUAUGUGAUUUUCUUUACAAAGUUUUCCCAGAUAGCAAAAGCAAAACAUACUUUGAUUUUAGCCUAAUCAAUUCAAAGAUGAAAAAUGGGGAUUACGGGCGAUCACCAGAAUCAUUCAAUCAAGAUAUCCAAAAGGUAAUUGUUAACAUCCGCCUCAUGUUAUCUUUCUUCUUCUCUUAGUUCUUUUUCGUUUUUUCCCCUUUAAAUCUCUAUUUUGUGCUUUUUUGUAGCUCUAUUUAGUAUGUAUGCGUUACAGCUCGAGAUGCCCUUAAAGUGUCCUUGUUGUUAUUGAGGGAGCAAUAUAAGUAUAGUUCGGCAGCAAAAGAGUUCUGUUUGCUCUAGAUUCAUGGUUUCUGCCUCUUUUUUUUCCCGUAGAAGGUUUGCACAUAUUUUUGGGUUUGAAUUAAAGAUAUCAACUGUAGGGUCAAUUUAGCUUUCAAAUACAAGUUGAAUUUGCACGUAGCGGGAAAAACUUCUCUUCCUUAUUCUAACAAAAAAAAAUAAAAAUCGAACUAUAUUUGAUGGAUCUUGCAAGUUAAGAAUUGUUGAGAGUUUAAGAGAAGUGCUGAGAUUUCAAAAUUAUUUCAUGUUGCUUGAUUAUAACUGGUAAGAACUCUGUACAAUUCAACCAAAUUGAAAUCAGUUAAUCUUGUUGGAUAAGACAUGUAUAAGCUUUCUUACAUAUUCCACAUUAUAAGUUUUAAUGUCCUUCUGUGCUUUUCCACUUUCCUCUCAGCCAUGCAUAGUUUGAAAUGUCCUCUUAUUGCCAUGAAAGAUGUAAUGGACCAUCAUUUUUUUUUUUUUUUUUUCUAUUUGAGUUUCCUGGUUUUGUUUGCUCUCCAGGGCUCUUAAUCAUCAGGAAACUUAAUAUACAAACCACGUUUUAAUCUAUUCAUCUGUAUCAAUUAAAAUGUAACAAAUUGACGUGCCUCUUUAAAUAUUCCUGCAGGUCUGGGAGGAAAUGCAAAAAGCUGGUCAGAACAUAAUUCAUCUAACAAGCAGCCUCUCAAGUGUGUCGAGGGCUUCUUAUCAGAAGCAGGUACUAUCUGUGGUCCUCUCAUAUUAAAUUUUUCUUAUCAGCUUGAUCCGUUUGUGAAUUCUGAAUACCCCCUGCAAAUGCGCAAAUUUGUGCAAAUACCUCUGCUAAGUUGGUAUUUGCAUAUGAGCCAUUGGAAAACUUGUUUAUUUACACAUACAGGGGUAUCUAUGAAAAAAUGAUUUUUGUGUUUAUGUCCCUCACCAGCAUGAAUGCAGAUAAGUAUGGUGUCAAAGUUACGCAUGCAAAUACCUCUCUGCCUGGAUAUUCAAGCAAUUUCCCAUGUUUCCAAGGGUAUAUAUGCAAAAAAAAAAAAUCUUGAAUUUGAGAAAACGAUGAGGAUCCUUAUAGGUCCUGAAGUUUUUAUUUAUUACCUAUCUUCUGUUAAAAUUCACACCUUUGAAUGUGAUGAUCUUUGUAAUCAUGCCUCUAUGUGGGCUGAUCCAAGCUAAAUCUGUAUAGAUUGAUGGAGAUUUGGAACUUGGGGCGGGUGAACACAAGUCCAAGGCAAGUGACAUUUACUCAUGUUUUGUGAAUUUUUGGCAUAUUUAACCCUGCAGAUAUGCGGGAUUGCAUAAGUAAACUUUAUCUGCAGGAAUUGCAUAAUUAAACUUACAAAGUUAGUAGACGGAUGCAUGCCCCUGGAAUCUGUAUGUUUGCAUUCAUGUCCCUGCUAGGGUAUAUAUGUAAAAAAAACCAAAUUUCCUUUUGUACAUCAAUGGGGUCGCAUCUUCAAAUAAGCAAGCGUUUUAGGCUGGGUUGCACACUUAAAUAACAAUUUUACAGGGGUAUAGGUGAAAUCUCAUAAAAUUGCAGGGUUGUAUAAUUGAAAAUCCAUAUUUUGGUCGAUAUCAUGUGCUUAAUUUAUUUAUUAGAGUGUUCUUUACUCAAUAUUACAUUAUUAAUGCAGGAGAACUGUGUUGUUGAUUUGGAACCGAAGAACUCCUUGGAGUCACACACGACCGUGCAGUUCACUUCCUGCAAUUCAGACCCAUCCACUAAGCUGGAUCAAACUGAUGCCUCCGUCCCGUAUAAAAUUUUCUCAUGCAAACACUGUGGUCGAGAAGCUAAUGGUGAGCAAACCCUCAUGUGUGAUGGGUGUGAAGAGAUGUACCAUUUAUCAUGCAUUCAGCCCCCAAUCAAACCAAUCCCGACCCGUAGUUGGUACUGCAUGGUCUGCCGCACUAAUAGUAUACAGUUCAAGUCCUGCAAUGUGGACCCAUCUACAAAACCAGAUCAAACUGAGGCCUCCGGCCUAUACAAAAUUUUGCCGUGCAAACAGUGUGGCCAAGAAGCUAAUGGCGAUCGGAGGCUUAUUUGUGAUGGAUGCGAAGCAAUGUACCAUUUCUCAUGCCUCCAACCGACUGUCAAAUCAAUCCCGACUAGGAGUUGGUACUGCACCACCUGUCGUCCUGUUCAGAAGGAAUCGCCCAAAUCUCAUCAAGACAGCUUGCAUGAGAAUUGUGUGGUUUGUGAUCGCCUUGAGGUCUCCGAAACUGUGGAAGCCAAUGAGAAUGGAAGCGUGAGAGAGGGCUCAGAACACUCUAGUUUGGAGUCCAAGGACCCUCCGGGACUUUCUAGAAAUGCUCUCUCUCGCUUGUGCAAGCUAUGCGGAGCGUGUGAAGACGACGACAAGAGAUUUCUAAUCUGUGGCCACGUUCACUGUCCUUACAGGUACUACCACAUAAGAUGCCUAAAGACUUCCCAAAUUGCUAGCGAGGCGCAACGAAAUAAGCCCUGUUGGUAUUGCCCUUCUUGCCUAUGCCGAGCUUGUCUCUCUGAUAAAGAUGACGAUAAGAUUGUGUUAUGUGAUGGUUGUGAUGAGGCGUACCACAUAUAUUGCAUGGAACCACCUCGGAGUUCUGUGCCCAAGGGGCUAUGGUAUUGUAUUCCGUGCAACGUGGCAAGGGCAAAGGAGGGGAUGAGGAAGUAUGAACAGAUGAUUUUACAGCAACAUAGAAAGAAUGAUUUUAAUAAGGUAGGUUACGAGACUAACGGGUCGGUGGAUUUGCUGCUUAGUGCUGCGGAGAAGUUGAAGUUUGAGGAGCACAUCAAUGGCAAGUAGAGAUUUAAGGUGGGUACUAAGGCCUGAAACAUUGCUGUUUAAGUCCGAUAAAACUGGAGGAUUUUUUGAUUGGAUUAGGCUGAGUUUUGUCUCACCUUUUCCAUGUACUAAUAUUGUACAAUGUUGGUAAGGUAAUGGUGUAUGGUGGGAGAAGAAUAUGCAGCUGGAUAAAAUCUCUGAAGAAUCUUGGCAGAAUUUGUAUUUUGUGUAUUCAUUUUACCAAAAAUGUUAGAAAGCAGAGUAGAAAGUUGCAGGUGUUUCUUCCUUUUUUUUUUUCCUCUUAUUUCUUUUGGGUUUAAUUUUGCUAGUGCUGUUCAUCAGUUGUAAUGCCCUUGAAGCAACAUUUUGUUAGGGCAUUUCCCCUUAUGAAAUUCCCAGUGUAUUAUGUGUUUCUUUAUGAGAAAGAAUUACUGGUCAUGUACCUCCUGGUCACCAUGCUGUAGCAUUACUACUACUACAUACAUUCAUCACGGAUGUACAAAUAAUUCAAUUUUGUUGUGAAAGUAUGUGACCGCAUUAUGUUCCUUUUUACCAAUGUUCAUGGUGCUCUUGGUUUGAGCUUUGAUAUGUGGUUUUAUGUUUUAGGACAUGCAAAAGGUUUCUGUAAUAUGUGUGAUGAUGUAAGAGAAUCGGAAAAUUUGAAAGUUUUAUUCCUUGAGAAUCGUGCAAUCAUGAAAUCAAUUUUGUAUUUCCUAUAAGGACUGAUCUCUGAUUUGCAAGUUAAGAAAUAGAUUUUGAAAUUAUGCUUCUUUAACUAGUUGUUUGCUGGUGUGUGUCAAAUUCAAUUGUAAAAGCAAUUAAACAAUUAACUUCGAUAUUCGGGGCAUUUAUAUGCUGAUUUUGUACAUUGGAUUCACUUUGGAGUCUGCAGUUGCUGUCUUAAAGAUGCGCAGGCAUGUUUUUGUUUUACAAUAAAUGCAUUUCUGCGUACUUGGAAAAUAAAAAGAAAUCGACAAAACACAUUUUACAAACAGUUUUAAUUCGAACUGAAUUAAGGUUCAAUCCAAAAAUAUAUGUGGCGCUUGCAACUUUUCUGAUUUCUGUAAUCAGAUCCCUUGAUAAAUUCCAACCUGGAAUCUGUGACUUCGUGAGAUGUUCGUACAAUAUUAAAGGGGUAUCAGAUCGCUACUGCACGCAAUUGUAUCACAAUUUUUCGUAGUCUUUUAGACUCAUGAAAAGAAAAGGUAUCCUAAUGGUAUUGAUCACUGUAUUAAUCAUCCUUCUAAUUUCCGAAUCAAUGCAUUUGGUCUAGAACUUGAACAAGUAUAUAGAAAAAAAAUUCUGUAAAGCAGGAGCAUCUAAUCUCUCUGUUAGUUAUUAACCUUUUGGAACAAUGCUGUAAAAGGAAAUCAUCAUAUUCAUCUUUGAUAAUUGAUUGCAUCAAAGAAUUUUACUAAGCACGACUGAAUUGUAUAGAUGGAUUUUCGAACUACCGACUGGCUUAUCGAUCCAGGAAGUUCAAAGCCUCGAUAUCCCGACCUACUACACUCAAAUGGCCAGGACGGGCGGCUGUACAUUUCUAGAACACGCUCAAAAUGCAUGAGCGCUUCUUCACAGUUUACUUUUGUGUUGUAUGAAAGCAUUCUAACAGAAACAAAAGCAACUGCACUCAGUUUAUUUUUCAACUCCAAAUUGCAGGAUCUAAUUAAGAAAUUGGAGCACAUAUUUUAUCUCCUUUAUUCCUCCAGCAAACAGCUUUUUGUCAGAAUAGGAAUAGUACCAUGACACACAAUUUGUUUUCAAGCUAAAUGCUAGCUCUGCAUACAUGCAUAGCAUAGACGAUAACACCCAGUACCAUCCUGGCAAAUCUUUUGCAAGAACCGUAGCACAUCUUUGUUUUCAAGUACCUUUUUAGCCUAGCUUCGAUACAAAGUGCUGUUUAGUUAAGUUGUUUCUAUUUAAACAUAUUGCUUGCUAAGUUUUGGAUAUAUAUAUAUAUAUAGAACUAGGCUACUAUGCUAUUAAUAGCACCAGGAUAUUGUUGCUACCAAGUUUUUGGCCAUUGGAUUAAGAGAUGUGCGGUUGGGAUGAUGUGGGCCCCCUAGGUUUGAGUGGGUGGUUGGUUGAAUAGUAUGAUCUAACGGAUGAAAAUGAUCAAAAGGGUAGAUCUAACGGCGGAAAACUUGGUAGCACCAAGUGCUUCGUACUAUUAAUAGCAUAGUAGCCGGACUCUAUAUAUAUAUAUAUAUAUAUAUAUAUAUAUAUAAUUAGAACCAAUCCUAAGCUCCACCCACGCAUUAUGUGAGAUCUGAAGGUUCGAUCCCCAUCUUCAAUAUUUAACAUGUUAUCUUUCUAUAUUAUAUUUUAGGGUUAAUUUCAUACAGAUUCCUAUAAAUAUAGUAAUGACAGAUAUACCCAUAUAAAGUUCAACUUUCAUAUCUUGUUCUUACAAAAGUCAUGAUAUUUUCAAAUAUGUCCAUACCGUUAGAAUCCGUUAGAAAAAUUUAGUUAAUCAUUGGUUAAAUAUUUUACCCGGAUUCAUUUUUGACAUUUUUAUCCCUCUUAUAUUACAUUGUUAUGACUUUUGGAAGGACAUAUUUGUGACGGUAAAAUUAGAAAUAUAAACAAUUCUCUAAUGGUUCUCUAAUGGCAACAAACAGAGGAACAUAUUUGAAAAUAUUAGAAUUUUUGUAGAAACAAUAUGAAAGUUGAACUUUGUAUGGAUAUAUUCCUGAUUCACUAUAUUUGCAAGGACCUGUAUGAAAUUAACCCUAUAUUUAAUAGGUCAAAUGACUAUCUCUAAUUUACUUGUUAAUUUCAGUCUUUUAAAUUCAUUCGUAUUUAGAAGGGAUGUUAAAGAUUUUUCUAAACUAUUUGAAUGUGUGUAUAUAUAUAUAUAGUCCAGCUACUAUACUAUCAAUGGCAACUAACAUUUGGUACUAUCAAGUUUUCUGUCGUUAGAUCUACUACUUUGAUCAUUUUUACCCAUUAGGUCAUACCAUUCAACCAAUCACUCACUCAAUCCUAGAGACUACUAUUAUCCUAAACGCACAUUCUUUCAUUCAAUGGCCGAAAAUCUAAUGACACUAAUGACUUGAUACUAGUGAUAGUUUCUAUAUAUAUAUAUAUAUAGAGUAGGGCUGCUGUGCUCUCAGGAGCACGAAGGCCUCCGUGCUCUUGAGCCGUUUUCGAUGAUGGAAUUUUCGAAUCGACGUUCGGCUCCGUUAGACUUGAUCUAGUGUAUUUGAAGUUUCUAGAAAAUAAUUUUUGCGAAUUUUUGAUAUCAUUUACCUAGUGAUCGAAAUGAUUCAAAAUCAAUAAUUUUUAAUGGUUGAUAUCUGCCGUUUUCAAGUUUAACGGUGUAGAAGUAUUCAAAUCAGAUGAAAUUUUGAUACAAAAUUCUUUAUACUAUCUACAAUAAGAUCAACAUUUCUGAUAAAAAAUUUUAGUGCUAUAUCACCAGUUUUUAUAGAAUUUUUAUUUUCAGCCGUUAAAAAUUAUUGAGUUUGAAUCCUAUCGAUUGCUAGGUAAAUGAUAUCAAAAAAUCCGAUAAAAAAUUUCUCAUAAAACUUCAAUACGGCUUUAGGAUUCAAGUUGCUACAGAGGUGGCCGAAUAUCGAUUCUCGCCAAUUCCGCGCUGGCUGGGUCAUCGGGGGGAAAACGGGGGGCGGGUGGGGGCGAGGCUCGAAGGGGGGCACCGAAGGGGGCUCUCGCAAGCGGUGGGGUUGAGGGCAGGGCGGGGAGCCCUUACGUUCUCUUCGUUCUGCCUUCUGUCCUCUGGUUACCAUUAUCGUUCUGACCUAGCAUAAUUACAGCUUAACUCUCCUUUGCUGAUACAACUCAAUGGAAGAAAAAUAACAUAUAUCGAAAUAAAAAGAAAAAAAGAAGAAGAGUUUGUAUACUCACAUAUUUGAGUACAUGUUAAUCUAGGUUGGAAAUAAUCAAGAAAUAAUAAAUUAUGUUAUUGAAUAGAAUCUAUGAUUGAGACAUACAUAAUUGUGAGAAGCAUUAUAGGCUUUGGUGUGCGAUAAAACUGAACACAGCGAAUAUACAAAUCUAUGGAAGAGUUCUCAGAGGUAUAGGCCACUAUGAUCCUCUCUACUGUGAGUAAGAGCAUCUCUUAUAUAAUCCUCCUACAAUUUCCUUUCUCUUUUUCCACUGAUGCGCUAUUUCCACUCUCCUCGUCUUCAUCGAUGCUCUCCUGUCGUUUUACGUAUAUUGGCUUGUGAUAUUCGUCACUUAUUUUGACAAUAUAUUUUUUGAAUAAAACACUCCACUUCUUUAUAAAUUUUACCUCUCAGGGGGUAGGUACGUCACAUGGAGGGGUGGUGAGGGCGAAUGCGUGAGAGAAAAGCCACCUGGGUGGCUCUUCUGCGAUGAGCGCGUUCUGUGCGUGCCGCGUGCCUGGCCGCGGUGGUUUGUUAUCGUGCGUGGUAUGAAAUAUCUAUAAGAAUGGUUGACAGAGGUGCGUGUGAGUCUGCCGGUCCAGGCGUGCGGGGCAUGACUCUGUCGGUUCGCGGUGUUGAGCCUGGGCGCGCAAUGCUUUUGUAACAGAGAUUCGUAUAACAGAUCUUACGAGAACGGUUUCUCAUGUGCUCUCAGUUUACUUACUCUCUCUGUAGUCUUCUCGAUAUAAUUCGUAGUAUAAGUGGUCUCCUCUCUCACACAUACAAAUAUGAGAUGUUCCUAGUUUGAGGGUUAUUGGAUAGGAGGAGGAUUUUUCUUUUGUCAUGACACUCCGUAUAUGAUAGAUACUCUAAACUCUCCUCAUACAUGAAGUUGAAUGCUGUUUGAAUUACAUAACACCUUGAAUUUAUAAGUAAGAGUAUCGCCUGAUUUAAUUUUUUGAGUUAAUUACAUGAAUCUUUAUCUCUUCGAGAUUACGUCAGAAGCAAGAAUUCUUUUUCGCUUUAUGAGCAGAGUGCUUUUCUGUCAUAAUCACGAGAAUUUUUUAGGUCAGUAUACAUUUAUUUCUUUAAAACACGACUCUGAAAUUCUUUUACUCAACGCAUAUCACAUCCCUAUCUUUAAAUAUUUAAUUCUAUUCUUGUAGAAUCUCUUUCUUGAGAUACGAGAUAGGGAUGAGUGAGAAAUGGUCGCAGUCUCGAAUAUUCGAGAUUAUAGGUUCUCAAAUACUUUUAUUGGUGAUAGAGAAUCAAGUUCUUAGGGCAGAUGCCGGAGCAGCAUCAGGACGACGCGGCGAUCCGUCAAGUUGAAAGCGCGACCAUUGAAACCAAACUGUAGCACGGAGGCGGGGCGUAGCUACCGUGUAUACCAGCCUAGCUCCUAUAUACGUGUAUUAGUAUAUAUAUAGUAGUAUAAUAGGUGUAUAUGUCCGGCUAUAUGCUAUUUAAUAAGCACGAGUGUUUGGGUGGCUACCACUUUUCCGGCCGUUAAUCUACGUAUUUUGAUCAUUUUCACCGUUAGAGACGCUACUAUUCAACCAACCACACUCAACCCCUAGGGCCCACAUCAUGUACCGCACAUCUCUUAAUCAAGGACAAAAAUUGGGUAGAGCCCCAAUGAUUGGUGUAUUAAUAGGGACAUAGAGACUAGUUCUCAUCUUCUGCUCCGGGUAACUGAUAUAUAAUACCUUCUCUUCUCUCUUCUUCUCUGGCUCUCUCUCUAUAUAUAGGUGGGUGUAUAUAUUAUAAGAGAGUGCGAGAGGAGAGACGGAGAGAGACGAGAGAGAGAGCACUAGGCUUGGAAUACAUCAAUAGCACCAAGUGUUAGUGCUAUUAGUGUUUUUAGUUAUUGGAUUGAGAAUGUAUGCGAGUGUGUGUGUGGGCACCUGGGUUGAGAUGGGUGUGUGUGUGUGAUAGUCGUGUGCUAACGGUAAAAAUAAUCAAAGGUUAAAUCUAAUGGUGGAAAAACUUGAUUAGCCACCAAAUCCUUGGUGCUAUCAUAGUAUCUCAGCCGGACUAAUAUAGUAAAUAUAGUAUAGUAGUAUAUAUAGGUUAUAUCUAUAGUACUAUAUAUUAGUGUGGGGUAUUAUAUAGUAAAGUGAUUAAUAGUGUCAUAUAUCGUUUUAUGGCUAUUAAUAGCACGAACACUGUUGCUACAAGUUUUUCCGCCAUUAGAUUACCAUUUUGAUCAUUUUCACCCGUUAGAUCAUACUAUUCAAUCAACCACCCACUCAACCCUAGGGGGCCCACAUCAUCCUAACCGCACAUCUCUUAAUCCAAUGGCUAAAAACUUGGUAGCACUAAUGACUUGGUGCUAUUAAUAGCAUAGUAGCCUAGUUCUAUAUAUAUAUGUCACGCCCCGAGCCCGAUCCUUUUGGCCGGUUCGAGUGCGUCGAACAGACGCCGAACGGACAGAGUCUCCCCUGUCCGCCCAAGGCUCAACAUUCUGUACAAAUAGAGUAUGAAUUUUGCACAAAACGGAAGCAUACACACAAUGGCUUGCACGAGGGCAAGCGAUAGCUAAUAGUUAAAGUAAUAAACUACACUUAGAAAAUUGUUUACAUUUUUGUAUCAUUUCUUCUCUUUUACAUUACAUGAUCUCAAAAUAUAAGUUCUAGCAUUAAAAUAUAAAAUAUCUUUUACAUCAUUCAUAUUCUUUUUCUUUAACAUCUAUAGUCAUCAAAAUACAAAAAGGCGAUGUAUAAAGGUAUGCAACUAUAAAAUGGAAACCCCUUCGGGAGGUCUCUAUCUAGGGCGCGAUGCCCUUACCCCGAUCAUCCGCUGGCUCGGUCGGUCCGGGCUCUGUGGAAAUAGUACAGCGAGAACUACAACAAAGUUUCCAGUGGGUUCGGCAACCGACCACGCCGACUUUCCCACUAGGUCUAAAUUAGGCAUAAUAGAAGAAUAAAUAAAUAGUAACCAAGCUAAAGCAAAUACAGCUAAUAUGCUUAAACAAUAAAUAAUGCUAUGCUCAAUAAAGUACUCAUGAUGAAUGCAAGGUUACUGCUCAGAACCCAAUCUCUAGGCUAGCCCGUAGGUUUCGCCCACAAUAGACUCACCAACUCAAAUCCCAAAAAUCGGAGAGACUACUACACCCAGUGAUGACAACUCUGGAGCACAUCGCCGGAGGGGGAGUUACCACCCUCGAGUAAGGACUUACAGGUGAGUAUGAUCCAAUCAUUAACUAUAAGGAUGUCAAGUUCAAUCCAUUCCUUAACUAUAAGGAAAUAAUGCACAUAUGACUCUUAACUCUGAGGUUGAAAUUGUCAUAAUGUCACUAUCACACCUUUACUUGCAUUCUUUUCUUUCACUAGCGUCAUAUACACUGCUAUAUUCUUGUACACAUGCCACGCUUGUUUUCUAAGUGUUCCAAUUCUAGCAUUCUCGACUCUUCAAUGUCACUUUCUACUUCUAUAUCAAGAUGUCACAUUUAUUUACUGAGUCCACUAAGUUCUUGUCACUUGUUAUGCAUAAAUAGGGUUUAUAAAAUUCUUACAUUCUUGCUAGUAAUUCACAUGCAUUUGUACUCACAACAUGCAAUGAAAUGCUCAUAUAUAACCCUACUAUGCAAUUUUUAUGCUCAAUACACAUAUGCUCAAAUAGGACACUUUAGACAUAAAAGGAAUUCCAAGGUCUUCGGAGUGCACCGCCCACCUUAUAUGGUUGCAAAGGUGCUACAAUGAAUUUCUUGAAAUUUUUUGAAGCCCUAUUCCUUCGCCUGCGGCAAAAUGAAGCCAAAUUAGGCUUUUUCUCAAUAACUUUAUCUAAACCUUUUUAUAACGUCAAACGGAGUUGUCCCACACGUCGGGAAUACCCCUAAUUAGGUUUCCAAGAGGUCAAUUUACCUCGAAAACAACCGGAGGUAAAAGCCUCAAAAUUCAUGCCCUAACAAUGCCAUAUAGGGUUUUCUCCUUGAUUGAUCUCAUUCCUAAGUAAAAACUAGCUUAGAAUCAAUUAGCAAGCAUUCUAAUAUCAUCACUAAGUUAUUCCAAGCACCCCUAGGGCAUUUACUUUAAACCUUAGUUGUUCACCAUUAGAGCAUCUUGGGAAAACCAUGGUUUCAUGGUGAACAAAGCUCAACAAAGCUUCUAAUCAUGAGAGAAGCUCAAAACUCUAGUUCUAUAGUGAAAAUCCAAACCCUAGAUGAGUUUUUACCCUAAACUCACCUUAGCCAAAAGCUAUCUCCAAGUCCACCUUGUAGGAGAGUCCUAAAUCUUCUCCAAGCCACCAAAAUCGAAGUUUCUCCUUCAAAUCUUCUCCAAAUCCACUUUUUGGAGAGCUCUCUAGAGAGAGAAAAUAAAAUAAAUGAGAGGGAGGGGGUGAAUGGCUGUGGGAGAGAGAGAGAAGGGGUAUUGGGGUCUUAACAUGUUGUAACAAUUACAACAAAACCCUCCAAAAAGUCUUAUUUGCAGCAGUUCAAUUCUUUGCUGCCAAACCAAAGUGUACCGGUACACGGGUUCUUGUACCGGUACAUUUUUUGCUCAGAGGCAACCCGAGAGCAAACUUCUCAGAUUUUACCAAAGUGUACCGGUACACACCAGGGGUGUACCGGUACAUAUUCGCAAAAAAUCAAACCCGAGAGUAUACUCUUCUCGGGCUGCAGGGCUGUAUCGGUGACAACUCGAUGGUUGUUCCGGUACACUUUGCUCAGAAUAUUAGUUUUGUGCCAUUUUCGAUUCUAUUUCGCGUCAAUCGAUGCUAAAACCUUUCUAACAUCUCUUAAACUCAUUUUUAGCUUUUCCAACCUUAUUGGAAUGCUAAACGGAACUUGUCCAUCAAUUUCUCUCUGUACUUUAACCAAUUUGGCUAAAGUUUGAUAAUCGCUAUCGAGAUUUCAAUAGGUUACAAUAUAUAUAUAUAUNCCAUUUUGUACCCUAUACUCAAAUUCUCCUGCGCUUUGGAUCUUUUACAGCUCUUGUUUGCCUGAGACUUGUACUUGGACAUCUAAAUCUUUCUUAUUGUAGCAUAUGAUGGAUCAUUAGUUGAUACGGAUACUAGUUUGAAUUUGGUUGAUGCUUGAUUUUGUGUGGGUACGAGUCCAUAUUUCUGAGAAAUAUCUUCAUCUUUUAGCUCUUGUUUAUGUAGUGAUUAUCUUUCUACCGGACUUGUUUCUUAAUUAAACAAAGAGAUAUACUGAACAAAAUACCCAUGCAUCCAAAUACGCUUUGAGCCUUUAUAUCCUAGUAGCACUUCACAUGUAAGCAACACUUCCAUUCGAUUUAGUCAAACUGGUCUAUUACUGACUCUGUUCUGCGUUUGUAGUUUUCUGUUUCUAGUUCUUUUCUUAAAAUCUCCCCUUUCCAUUCCAGUCCCUAUGUCAGCAUUGGUAAGGUGAAAACAUGUUUGGAAAGUAUAAUUUAUCUAGAAGCUCUAAUGUGUAAGCAUAUCAAAGUCAGGAGGUUAGGCUCGGCACGUAAAAUUGGUUUCAACUUGGCUGGGAUUUUUAGGCAUAUGAAUAUCAGGAUAUGUUGUAUUUUCCUCUGUUCUUAGCAAUUUUUGGUGCUAAAUAGGGUUCUAGUACUUGCAGCUACAAUGCUUCGCAGAUAGGUGGAUGUAUGGCUCACGCGUUAUUAUGCCUCUUAAUUUUCUAAAAUUUAAUUUUCUUUCUUCUGAAAGGGACUACUAUGGAACCAUCAAUUUCAUUGGUAUUUCACCCAGGAACUUUUCUCCAUGAUUUGGCCUUUGACUCUCUUUUUUAUAGUGAUUUGAAUUUUUUUUUUUACUUUUUGUUAUUUAGCAGUAUAUGAAAGUGGAACUUGGGAAAAUAAAUAUUUAAUGUGUGAUUUGUUUGUUUGCUUAGAAAUUUUAUGAUCGAAUGCUUAGGAUUAUGACUGCUUUUGUGAAUAAUGCAGUCAUAAUCCUAGUUCUUGAUUGCAUAGGAGCAAGACUAUACAAGUCAAUAGUCUUUAAAGAAAAUAUCGAAUGCUUAGCAAAUGUGUACGUAGUUAGAGGAUGGACAUGAAUUGUCCAAAUAUGGAAGGGGAGUUAAUGCACAACCAUAAGAAAAUCCCUAGUCUUUGACAAAGUUGCAAAAUGGCCCUUCAUUUACUUCAUAUUUAGGAAAUGUAGGGAUUGGGAGCAUAUCUGGAGAAGAUAUCAAGGUGAACAAGUGUUGGCAUUAGGGCUAGAAGAGUUAUUGCAUGGGAACAUGAUGUCAUAUAUGGUUUUCACCUUGAGUGAAUCUUUUAGGGUGGUAUAGCCAAUUCAGUGGGCUCCAUGGAUGUAUUUGGAAACUUUUUUUUAUUUUUUUAAAAUAUAUUUUGUUGAAAAUGUGAAGUAACUAGGCUUUGAAUUUUGAAUUCCUAGCACCAACCAUCAAACUCUUUAAUUUUCACUUACGGUGGGGAUGAUUGUUUACGUUUUCAUAUAUUGUGUUUGUUUGGUGGGCCUAUUUUGGCCCAUAAAGGGCUUGUGAAUUUUCAUAUAGGCUUGUUUUCGAAAGUGAGGCUUAGAAGUGUGCAACUGUACAAUUCCCAUAAUGAUUUUCUUUUUCCAGAAACUUGCUCUUGAGAACAUUAAUGUAUUUUUGAUGAUUUGUUAUUAACCUCUAAAACAAAAGGAUAAUAUCUCAUAAAGAAAAUAAUCAAGUAAAUAAUUAUUUGAAUUAGAAAGCAGCAGCUCAAAUGCGUGAUAUACCAUAUAUAAAAAUGAAGCGAAGCAUAUUCACGUUCAUUAACAAAAGAGAUAAUAAAAUAGAUAGCUACUGAAAUAAACUCACUUAACGAUGGAUAUGUUAAAUGAUGUAUUCAUUUGGAAAAUUUACAUAGAACUUGUCUAAAUUAUUAGCUACUUUGAUCCAUCUAACCUUUAAUAAGUUUUGAUUUUGCUUUCUAUUUUUUAGAUUUAAGUGAUUUGAGUUGUUCAACUGCUUUUCAAUUUGUGAAUUUAAGCUUAUCUAAUUUGAUUGGAGUGCUUUAUAUGAUUCUUGAAAUAUUUAUUUCUCAUAUAUAGAUGCUUGUUUCUUCUUUUUGCAGCUCUUAAUGCCAGUUGAACCGAAUAUCCAAGACAUAGGUGGUAUUGAAAAAUUCGAAAAGAAAUACUUCAGGUUCGGCUAACUUUGGUACUAACUCAAAGCUUAAAAGGCCUAUGCGCUCUAAGGAAAUUGUAAGUUCUUUUUUUCUUGCUUAAAUUUAUAUUUGUUUGCUUCGUGGCUUCAAUGCUGAGCAACUUCCACUUCCUUUUCCUUUCGAUUUGUGUGUUCUCUCAAAUUGGAGAAUUUUUAAAAUGUUACAAAUCAUGAACCAAACAAGCCCAAAGGGUGAAUCUUCAUGCUUUAGUGUUCGGCAUUUGGUAUAUUGAUUAGAUUUAUUAGCUUUGAUUUGGUCAAAUGGUUGAAUAGGCAUGGAAUUGGACGAUUUCUAUUGAUAAUAGGAUAAUUUGCAAUAGUUGAAAUAGGAUAAAGUUACAAAUCAUUAUCGAUCAAAUCGUUAUUAAAUUAAGAUGGAUUCGGAUAUUCAUUUCUAAGGACGUGAUCUUUGGAUGAUGCAUUUGUGAUCGAAAUCGUUUAGGUUUUAUUGGUUUCGUUUUAGCUCAUUCUUGAUUUGAUAAUUGGGGUUUUGCUGUGUGGAUUGUAUCUAAUUUGGUAAAAUUGAAACAAUUGAAUACGAGAUUAUUGGGUCCAAAAUAGGUUUUGGCUGUAAUAUUUUGUGUACUUAGUGUAGUGGUUUUAUUACAUUAUUUGUUGAUUGCAACUUUGGUGCUUAAAGACAACUUUUUUUUUCUUUUUUUUUUUUUUUCUGUUCCUUAACAAGUUAAUACCUUUUUGGUUUUUAAGUUUUCAGUUGCAGUAUUAGUGUAUGGAGGAACAUGCUAUUGCUAGUAUUAAUGCUAUUAAGGCUUAUGAACUGCAAAGAAUAUAUUCUCAUGAGUUAUGGCAUAAAUUUGGUGUAUUAUAUUGUAUUAUUGAUUAUAUGUAAGGCAAGGAUUAGAAACCACUUAAAAUUUGCAGCAUCUCUUUGUUCUUUUGCUUCCUCUUUGUUCUUCUCUUAAUCAAAAUCUGAUUAAUUGCUUUCAGCUCUAACUUAAUUGAUUUCAUAUUUUUCAUCCAUUGUUAAGUGAAUUGAUAUUUUGGGGCAAUCUCUUUUGUCCUUUUGAACCAUAAAAUGUAGGAUAUUUUAGGGCAAUUUCUCUUGUCGUUUUGAAUGAUAAAACUUGUCCCAAAAAAGAGUUCACCAAUCUUAGGAAAAUUCCUAAGUUCGUAUAUGGUGGGGGCGGACCAAAACUUUUGUUGUUUCUGGUAAAAUGAUACAAUAUGAAAUGAUGCAAUGUGUCCUCACUUUUUUGGCUCUUUUGUUGUUCUUUUUUUAUUGGUGGUGGGUUCAUUAAUCAGUGCUAUAUGCUUCACGAGUUGUGGUAAAUUAUUAAGUGCAAUAGAUUGGGGAGCCACCAUCUUAAUUACUACUUGUAUAUGAAAUGGAGAUGCAUAUAUUAAAUUGCAUUUUGAGUAUGAUAAUCUGUCACUUAAAUAAUGUCUUGCUCAUUGUCAA